GACGAACGCUGGCGGCGUGCCUAAUACAUGCAAGUUGAGCGAUGAAGAUUGGUGCUUGCCCCAAUUUGAAGAGCAGCGAACGGGUGAGUAACGCGUGGGGAAUCUGCCUUUGAGCGGGGGACAACAUUUGGAAACGAAUGCUAAUACCGCAUAACAACUUUAAACAUAAGUUUUAAGUUUGAAAGAUGCAAUUGCAUCACUCAAAGAUGAUCCCGCGUUGUAUUAGCUAGUUGGUGAGGUAAAGGCUCACCAAGGCGAUGAUACAUAGCCGACCUGAGAGGGUGAUCGGCCACAUUGGGACUGAGACACGGCCCAAACUCCUACGGGAGGCAGCAGUAGGGAAUCUUCGGCAAUGGACGAAAGUCUGACCGAGCAACGCCGCGUGAGUGAAGAAGGGUUUCGGAUCGUAAAACUCUGUUGGUAGAGAAGAACGUUGGGGAGAGUGGAAAGCUCAUCAAGUGACGGUAACUACCCAGAAAGGGACGGCUAACUACGUG
rnacentral:rRNA from 1 species